CCGUACACCUACAAGUAAAAUCACGGGUAAAUGUUUAAUCUCGGAAGGAAAAUCUGAUAAAAUCUCGAACGUUUACUCUUCGCUUAAAGCUUCUUUUCUUUCCUUCAGCCGUAUCAUCGUUUAGAUAAAGAUUGCAAACGGUGGACGUGAAUGUUUGUUAUCACUUGGGAUCAAACAGUGAUUUAUUGACGAUACUGCUUUCCCGUUCUUUUAACGAAUUCCGAACCAAGAUAAAGUUUCGUUGUCAACCGAUUGAUUUAUCGUGUUAUAUAGCUACGAGUCGACGUUCACCGUUUACAAAGACAAAAUAACCGUUGGAUAAUUAGAUACGUAGAAUCAUGCAUGAUUCGUGAUUUAUGAUGACCCUGAAAUAUCUUGAGAACCCGAUAACGGUAAUUCGAAGUUGAGGCGGUUGUGGUUCUCUGAAAUUAGCCAUGAUUCGAAUUACGUCUUCCUAUUAAUCUUCGCCGAUAACCGGAAGUGGGUUCUAUCCACGCCAACAGGCUUUGUUCGAAUAAUUAAAUUCCUGUGGUAACUCGACGAACCUAGAUCGACGUUGAUAAUGUAUCGUUGUUGGCCCACGUGCCACAGAUUCGAUUUAUAAUUGCUGAAUAACGAGGGUUUGCGCGAUCAUCAUCCAUCAGAAUUAUCGUCCCUUGUAAUAAUGGCCGUUCUAUGGCAACAUGAUGUUUGCCUCGGCUAAUUGUCAUAUCGCCCCUUUCCAUUAUGAUAUCCUAUCGUAUCGAGAGGUUCUAUUCAGAUUUGCGACGAAAAUUAGAUUUGUCGUUUAAAUAUUGUAAUCUUAAAAAUUACAAAUAUGUGAUAUAAUUAUGGUAAUAGGUUUUUAUUUGGGAUUUUUUUUCAGCUUGACGUUAAGUGAAAAUUUUUACUAUAUUAUAAAACGUAUUAUAUGAAAAUUAAGAAAAUACAGUUUUUGGGAAAAUUGAAAUUUUGGGGCAAAUUAAAAUAUAAAAUAUAAAAUAGAAUUGGUUUAUACUUCAUAAUUAUAUAAUAAUUAUAUGAAGUUUUAAAAUAUGCAGAAAGAUUAAUAAAGACGAGUUAUGGUUUAUCAUGAUCAAUGAUUUCUUACAAGAAACAUGAGGAAAGAUUUUCGUAUCGCGAUCGAAUUAUCAACGAUAUGAAAUACGAUUGAAUGAUAACGUUGAUUUGGACGAUUUGUGGCUUCUUAAAAGGAUUAAUUAAUUGAAGAGUUGAAAGAACGCUUAAAUAUUGUUUAUUGAUAGAUUUAUUAGAAUUGAUCGAAAUAAUGAAGCGACGAUGGUAAGUAUGUUCGAGAUUUGAACAAAUAUUAAGAUCAAAUAUUAAAUUUUAGAUUAUUUUAAAAUAAUGAGGGAAAAAUUUGUAUCACUUGUAAAAAGAAAAAAAUAAAAAUAAUAAAACUUGUUUAUUUUUUGCACAUUUAUAUUAGAUAUUAGACUGUAUAAAAAAUAUAAUAAUAAAAAAAAAUCUUGCAAUCCAAUAUCUAAUAAUUAACUGUACCACACCAUGAGAUUGAGGUUUCUUCGAAACAGGGACACACGAAGGACAAAAAUGGUAAACAUGUUAUUCGAUGCAACUGAAACGGUGAUCAACAUAUCAUGAUAUCGAUAUUGAUAGAUAUCAAAGAACAAAAAAAAACGUAUAUAUCAUAGUGCACGAUUCAGUUGAUUGAUAUGUUUUUUGAAUUAUUAAUUAAUUUGAAAUUUAAUUUUAAUAAUAAAAAAUGUUAUAUUUACAUGUACAUAUAUUAUAUAAAUAUUUAUAAUAUAUCGCACCUUUCCAAUAACGAAUUGAUACAUCGAAACACAGUUCGAGAUAUUUUAUAAAUCCCAGAGGAAAUAUCGUGAAAUAUCGAGACGGUAAGUUGAUGAACAUUUUUCAUCUCUACGACCUCCUUCUUUUUCCUUUGAAAAUUCAAUGUGCAAAGAGUGAACGGAAUUAAAUGAGAAGAAAUACGACGAUGAAGUUUCGAGCAAUUUAUUUAUAUCUCUAUUCAAUUUUAAGUGCGAUUCAAAUUUAAAUUUCGAAGAAAGAAAAGUCGUAAAAGAAAACUUGAAAAAAAAUUUCAUGAAAGUUAAAAUUCUUUCCUGUUCAACCGUAACAUGAACGAAACAAUUCGUGUAUAUAAAUCAUUAAUUUAUAAUUAUAGAUAUUUCAAAAGAUUUUAAAAGAUUUUAAACGAGGAUAGAAAUUAAAAAA